rnacentral:lncRNA from 1 species
GUGGAGAAGGGUCUUUAUCCAUCACCUGAAUGAUCUCUUCCAGGUUUGUGAACUUAUCCAUUUUCUGGUCAAUAUCAUAAUCUGAAAACCUAAGAUAUACACAACAGUGACAAGGUGACACGUUAUUACAAGCAAAACUUUUCAGCUUCAGAUCAUUAUCAAGGCAAAGAGUUAAAAGAAGAUGGGCACCUAAAAAUGUGUUAAACUUCAAGAGUCCCACCUGAAACAUU